CACGUAGGGCGCGAGCGUUGUCCGGAAUUAUUGGGCGUAAAGAGCUCGUAGGCGGCCUGUUGCGUCCGCUGUGAAAGCCCGGGGCUUAACCCCGGGUCGCAGUGGAUACGGGCAGGCUAGAGGUAGGUAGGGGAGAAUGGAAUUCCCGGUGUAGCGGUGAAAUGCGCAGAUAUCGGGAGGAACACCGGUGGCGAAGGCGGUUCUCUGGGCCGAUACUGACGCUGAGGAGCGAAAGCGUGGGGAGCGAACAGG
rnacentral:rRNA from 1 species